GACAGAGGGGGCAAGCGUUGCUCGGAAUUACUGGGCGUAAAGGGCGCGUAGGCGGGAUGGCAAGUCGGUCGUGAAAUCCCUCGGCUCAACCGAGAAACGUCGGCUGAUACUGCCGUUCUUGAGGGAUGCAGAGGAGACUGGAAUUCCCGGUGUAGCGGUGAAAUGUGUAGAGAUCGGGAGGAACACCGGUGGCGAAGGCGGGUCUCUGGGCAUCUCCUGACGCUGAGGCGCGAAAGCGUGGGGAGCAAACGGG
rnacentral:rRNA from 1 species